rnacentral:rRNA from 1 species
AUUGAACGCUGGCGGCAGGCCUAACACACGCAAGUCGAGCGGAUGAAGGGAGCUUGCUCCUGGAUUCAGCGGCGGACGGGUGAGUAAUGCCUAGGAAUCUGCCUGGUAGUGGGGGAUAACGUCCGGAAACGGGCGCUAAUACCGCAUACGUCCUGAGGGAGAAAGUGGGGGAUCUUCGGACCUCACGCUAUCAGAUGAGCCUAGGUCGGAUUAGCUAGUUGGUGGGGUAAAGGCCUACCAAGGUGACGAUCCGUAACUGGUCUGAGAGGAUGAUCAGUCACACUGGAACUGAGACACGGUCCAGACUCCUACGGGAGGCAGCAGUGGGGAAUAUUGGACAAUGGGCGAAAGCCUGAUCCAGCCAUGCCGCGUGUGUGAAGAAGGUCUUCGGAUUGUAAAGCACUUUAAGUUGGGAGGAAGGGCAGUAAGUUAAUACCUUGCUGUUUUGACGUUACCAACAGAAUAAGCACCGGCUAACUUCGUG